UCAGGACGAACGCUGGCGGCGUGCCUAACACAUGCAAGUCGAACGGGGAUUUGUUUCGGCAGAAUCCUAGUGGCGAACGGGUGAGUAACGCGUAGGCAACCUGCCCUCCGGCCGGGGACAACACUCCGAAAGGGGUGCUAAUACCGGAUACGAAGUCUGUGCCGCAUGGUACGGAUUUGAAAGAUGGCCUCUAUUUAUAAGCUAUCGCCGGGGGAUGGGCCUGCGUCCGAUUAGCUGGUUGGUGGGGUAACGGCCUACCAAGGCGACGAUCGGUAGCCGGUCUGAGAGGAUGAACGGCCACAUUGGGACUGAGACACGGCCCAGACUCCUACGGGAGGCAGCAGUGGGGAAUCUUCCGCAAUGGGCGCAAGCCUGACGGAGCAACGCCGCGUGAGUGAGGAAGUUCUUCGGAACGUAAAGCUCUGUUGUUCCUGACGAACCUCCCUUCUAUCAACAACGGAGGGGACUGACGGUAGGGAACGAGGAAGCCACGGCUAACUACGUGCCAGCAGCCGC
rnacentral:rRNA from 1 species